GAUGAGAACGUAGCGAAAUGCGAUAAGUAGUGUGGAUUGCAGAAUUCAGUGAAUCAUCGAAUCUUUGAACGCACAUUGCGCCCCUUGGUAUUCCAUGGGGCAUGCCUGUUCGAGCGUCAUUUGUACCUUCAAGCUCUGCUUGGUGUUGGGUGUUUGUCUCGCCUCUGCGUGUAGACUCGCCUCAAAACAAUUGGCAGCCGGCGUAUUGAUUUCGGAGCGCAGUACAUCUCGCGCUUUGCACUCAUAACGACGACGUCCAAAAGUACAUUUUUACACUCUUGACCUCGGAUCAGGUAGGGAUACCCGCUGAACUUAAGCAUAUCAAUAAGCGGAGGA
rnacentral:misc_RNA from 1 species